rnacentral:lncRNA from 1 species
UCUGCUUCAAGAUGGUGCCUCUUGCUGCAUCCUCACAUGGCAGAAGAGAUGAAGAAGAAGAUGAAGAUGAAGAAGAUGAAGAUGAAGAAGAGAUGGCAGAAGAAGAUUAAGAUGGUGCCUCUUGCUGCAUCUUCACAUGGCAGAAGAAAUGAAGAAGAAGAUGAAAAUGAAGAUGAUGAAGAUGAAGAGGAUGAAGAUGAAGAAGAAGAAGAGAUGGCAGAAGAAGAUGAAGAUGGUGCCUCCUGCUGCAUCCUCACAUGGCAGAAGAGAUGAAGAAGAAGAUGAAGAUGAAGAAGAGAUGACAGCAGAAGAGGAACAUGGUGCCUCUUGCUGCAUCCUCACAUGACAGAAGAGAUGAAGAAGAAGAUGAAAAUGAAGAAGAUGAUGAAGAUGAAGAAGAUGAUGAAGAAGAAGAACAGAUGGCAGAAGAAGAUGAAGAUGGUGCCUUUUGCUGCAUCCUCACAUGGCAGAAGAGAUGAAGAAGAUGAAGAUGAAGAUGAAGAAGAAGAAGAAGAGAUGGCAGAAAUGAAGAUGAAGAAGAUGAAGAUGAGGAAGAUGAAGA